AUGAGUGGUUCGCCCCACCACGGUCGGCCUACCGCAUCCCCCGGACCUACCUGGCCAUGGAUCCAGGCGGUUCGGUCCUUGCCGUGCCACCACACGUGCUCACCUUGCCGAGGACACCUCCUUCACCCACCCAUCUUCCUCCUUGCUGUGGGGCCAGCGCGCCACCAGCAACACCGGACACCUCUUCCACCUCACCUCACCUCCGGACAGUGGUGACUCACCAGCGAUCCUUUCCCUCCCGAUAGUGGCGACUCACCGGCGACCCUCCCCUCGAUGUAAAGGUGACCUCCAUCACUCACACCGGUGAGGCUUCUAGCGAGCAUCUCCGCCCUGAAUCCAACUCCUCCCGCGCGACAUCCAUCUCAUCCGCUCAAGUCCAGCGACCGUCAUCAUGUAGCUCGGCGGCACGAGUGAGGUGGUUCAGUGAUGGUCCACCAGCCCGGGAACCUGCUGGUCUGCCUCCACCACUUGAUAUGGCUUGUGCGUCCUAAGUCCCACCUCACUACCACCAGCCGUUCACCCCCACACUGCCCCGCUCUACACUGGUUGGCACGCCGGAGCUCCUUUACCUCACCAUCUAAGUGCUUGCAAAGAUGCAGAUCCGAUGGAGGGAAGAAAGAUCGGGCGUGGUGCAGGCUGGUUUGCCAAGGUUGUCCUCCAUUGCAGCCACCGCUAUGAUCCUUAUCCGCCUCGAGUAUUCCGGCAAGGUCGCCAGCACUACGAACACUACCACAACAACGAGUUCGCCCCACUUCUCGAUGUUGUUCGGCUGCCCCGGUGCUACAAUGCGUGUGGAAGUUUUCUUUGGUGUUUCAGUUUGUUCUUGAAUAUGUCAGAAGAAAAAUGUAAAAAAUUGUAAAAUAGAUGCAGUACGUUGGUGCA